rnacentral:pre_miRNA from 1 species
UGUCAAAUAGCUGGGUCAGAUGGCAGAGGGAUGUUUAACUUUUAAAGAAACUGCCAAACUGUUUUGCAAAGUGGUUACGCCAUUUGACAUUCCCACUAGCAAU